AACUCAGGUAAAUGGACCGUUCUUUAAUUUGCCCGGGGAACGACUCUUCUUUUACUUGUCUAUUCCAUAGCAUGCCGGUGCACUGACCACUUCAUGUCCAUUUAUUUAUUAGGUUCUGCGAUCUCUUGUGUUGCUGCAUCCUGAUCUUCUGCUUUGUUGCAUCUCUGUUCUGCCAUCGAGAGGACGUGUCUGUACUUGCUGGGGUAGAAUUCAAAUUGUGACGGAUGGUUGUGCUUAGAUUUGGUCGCUGCUGGUCGGUUCUUGAGUUCAGCGCAUGAAAACCUGCAACUACUAUCAAGCGAACCACAGGAGGGAGCAGCAGGCAUAGAAGAAAUCCCAAUCCAAUUUUGCUCAGCUGUAGCAUCUUCCACUGACAAUAAGUCUGCACAGCAGCCUGGUGAGGCUGAUGUUCUUGCUCAGUAUAAGCCAACAAUGGAGAAACUGACCAAGCUAUCUUUCAUGAUCAGUUACACACCAAGCCUAUAUUUUUGCUGCUUCUACAUGUUGCUAUGAUGGUCAUUCAGCCCAUUUUCUCGAACCUGCACUACAACGAGAAAUUUGGGUUGCUUCUUUGUGGCUUCCAAACUUGAAAUGUUUGUUUGGAAGUUAGUUUAGAUUUUUGUUGUGGAUUCACAGCUUCUCACAUGUACCAUCCUCUUAGACCUUUAGAUUUCCAAAGAAACUAAAUCAAGAUAUGGUGGUAUGGUCUCAAUAGUACAACUUAAAGCCUUCCAUGCUUUAUAUUUUCUCUGAAAUUUGCUCUCCAAGAAUCAUGUAUCUAUGUUAGAUCCGGUGAGAAAAGGCGGCUUCCAAGCAGAGGAUGUGGGAGUGUUGACCACAAUUGGUUUUCGACUUGGGUGUCUAA